CUCCUGCCAUGGGCUGCAGCCCCGUCUGCUGUGUGGCUCUUUGUCUCCUGGCAGCAGGCCUUGUGGAUGCUGGAGUCACACAAACCCCAAGAUACCUGAUUAAAGCAAGAGGACAGCAAGUGACACUGGGAUGCUCCCCUGUCUCUGGACACCUCUCUGUGUACUGGUACCAACAGGCCCUGGGCCAGGGCCCCCGGUUCCUCGUUCAGUAUUACAGGCAGGAAGUGAGGGGAGAAGCACAGCUCCCGGAUCGAUUCUCAGCAAAACAGUUCAGUGACUCUCGCUCUGAGCUGAACUUGAGCUCCUUGGAGCUGACGGACUCGGCCGUGUAUCUCUGUGCCAGCAGCCCAGACACAGCCCUGCAUGAUCAGGUGCCUCUGGCACAAAAAGUCUCCUACCCCAGCUCAGGAAGUGUGACACCAGAAGACGUGCUCAGGCAGACAUCUGUGUACUUCUGUGCCAGCAGUUACUCCACGCCACUGCACGGCCACCUGUUCUCCGUACAAAAAGACAGGGGGCCCACGCGCAGGCUCCGAGCACCGGGAGCCUCACGCCCUGGGGACCACUGGCCGGCACUGUGA